UGUUAAAUUUCCAGAGUUCAAGCAAAUGAACACCACCUAGUGUUAAAUAUCUCAUUCGCGACACCCUUGGAGUUCACGCAGGCCUGGUGCUGUUGUUAAUUUUCAGAGUUCCUUCAUGUGAACACCAAUCAGUGUUGGGUUGUACAUCCGGGAUAUUUUGCUGAACAUUUUCAAAAAUCUGGUGAUUCCGCCAUUUUCUCCAAGCCGUUUCAGAAGUCGCCUCAUGUGAAGUGUUGGGAGAAUAGAUUCCGAGUGGUAGCACAUUAUCUGAAGCAAUGAUCCUCAAGGUGAAGUACCUGAAUGUAAAGAAAUACAUCAAAAUACCCGAGCCAUGCAUGGACUUAUUAAUGGCUGAAGUUAGACAAAAGUUUUCCAUACCAGAAGGCAAGAACUUGACUGUCACUGAUGAUGGUGGAACAGAAGUAGAUGCCGAUGUCUUUCCUGAAUUGGUGUCCAACGAUCUCUGUUUCGUCAUUCAUGAUGCUGAUUCAGGAGAGUUUUCUCUCAGCGAGUCCUCCAGCCUCACUGAUACAUGC